GCCUACGGGAGGCAGCAGUGGGGAAUAUUGCACAAUGGGGGAAACCCUGAUGCAGCGACGCCGCGUGAGUGAAGAAGUAUUUCGGUAUGUAAAGCUCUAUCAGCAGGGAAGAUAAUAACGGUACCUGACUAAGAAGCCCCGGCUAACUACGUGCCAGCAGCCGCGGUAAUACGUAGGGGGCAAGCGUUAUCCGGAUUUACUGGGUGUAAAGGGUGCGUAGGUGGCAUGGCAAGUCAGAAGUGAAAGCCCGGGGCUCAACCCCGCGGACUGCUUUUGAAACUGUCAGGCUGGAGUACAGGAGAGGG
rnacentral:rRNA from 1 species